UACGUAGGGUGCAAGCGUUGUCCGGAAUUAUUGGGCGUAAAGAGCUCGUAGGCGGUUCGUCGCGUCGGCUGUGAAAACCCGGAGCUCAACUCCGGGCCUGCAGUCGAUACGGGCGGACUUGAGUUCGGCAGGGGAGACUGGAAUUCCUGGUGUAGCGGUGAAAUGCGCAGAUAUCAGGAGGAACACCGGUGGCGAAGGCGGGUCUCUGGGCCAAUACUGACGCUGAGGAGCGAAAGCGUGGGGAGCGAACAGG
rnacentral:rRNA from 1 species